rnacentral:rRNA from 1 species
AACGAACGCUGGCGGCAUGCCUAACACAUGCAAGUCGAACGAGACCUUCGGGUCUAGUGGCGCACGGGUGCGUAACGCGUGGGAAUCUACCCUUGGGUUCGGAAUAACUCAGAGAAAUUUGAGCUAAUACCGGAUGAUGUCGCAAGACCAAAGAUUUAUCGCCCAAGGAUGAGCCCGCGUAGGAUUAGCUUGUUGGUGAGGUAAAAGCUCACCAAGGCGACGAUCCUUAGCUGGUCUGAGAGGAUGAUCAGCCACACUUGGACUGAGACACGGCCCAGACUCCUACGGGAGGCAGCAGUGGGGAAUAUUGGACAAUGGGCGAAAGCCUGAUCCAGCAAUGCCGCGUGAGUGAUGAAGGCCUUAGGGUUGUAAAGCUCUUUUACCCGGGAUGAUAAUGACAGUACCGGGAGAAUAAGCCCCGGCUAACUCCGUGCCAGCAGCCGCGGUAAU